CCGUGUGGUGCAGAUGCUGACCACUGAGGCCCAGAGGGGAGACCUCACCAGCUCCCCACGAGGCGACAUGGCUGAGAACAGGCCGUGGUGCUGUUCCUGCGAGGCAGUGGCACAGAGAGGAAGGAGCGGGGGAGCAGGCGGCUCUUGGAAAUGCCCCUGCCCUGUACGGAGAAGCUCCUGAAGGAACUCACCGGGAGCCAGGGGCUCGCACACUUGCUAUACGGUGGUGUGUUCUCCUUGUGGGAGCACCGCGAGCCCGAGUCCUGGGAUUGCGGUGGGAAGAGACUGGAGGGUUUUAUUCUGAAGCUUUGCUCCAAGGGGCCCAAGGCUUUCUGCACGUUUUGCCCCCACCUGGAGGAGCUCUGCCCUUACCUGCUCGCCUGCUGUUUCCAGUAUUACCAAGGCAGCAGCAUGGAGUGAGCUUCUGGCCAGCACUGUGACACGAGUCUAUGUUAUAAUGCAGAACAAACACGUAGGAUCUUCCGAGAUGCGUCCGCUGCAGGAGAUAAAGCUCAAGAGUUGGAGCUCUGCCCGAGCCUAGCGGGGGGCCCUUGAGCCUGAAGGUCAGGAACAAAGCCUUCAGUUAUUUAACAAGUAUGUAAAUGAUCUCUGUGCUGGCAGCCUUUGGAAAGUCCUGGCUUCUCUGUCCUGCCCUCUUCCUCCCCUUGUGGCGCUCGGUCCACUGUGUUCUCUGGCCAUUUACAAAUCGCUUUCUGAUGCUGCAUCUUCUAGGAGGUGCCCAGGCCACAGGGUGACUUCUUGGCUCGUUCCACGGUGUGAAAAAGAUGGUUCUUGGAAGCUGCCCUUUGUCACAGGCAGCUGAUGCUGUUGAAGUGUCCUUCGUCUUUGUUCUUUGUCAGGGCCCCAAACAGGCUCAUUUAAAGUGUCUCAGAUAACUGUGCAAUUCUGGAGUAAAAGUCUCAACUCUGAGGGA